GACGAGGAGCCAAAUGCCUGAACUUGAGCCGAUACAUGAACUGUACUUAAAGGAGCCACGUAGUGUUCACAUUCUCAGUAGUAUAGUAGUUACUAUUUCCAGUUUUGCGCCUUUAGUCAAGUUUAAUGUUAAAAUUGUUAAUGUUGUUAAGUAAUUUGAAAGGUCAAAUUAGGGGAGCCAUGUAACUGCUGGUGAGUUAUUCCAAGCUUGCCACAUGGUGGCGCUCUCCACAACUCAUGAGGGCGCUCUUCAUUGCUACCACAGAUUCAUGGUCCUUAUUGAUGACACAUGUCUGUGUCCUAAAUUUUUUGACUCGUACUUUGACUCAGUAUAAUUCGAUCAUCCUUCCACCCCAGGACCCGAGGACAGAGUUUUUACGUGAACUCUGCAAUCGCCACAGUCAUUUUUGGUAAUAAAUAAGCCAGGAAUAUACA